rnacentral:rRNA from 1 species
UGAGGAAUAUUGCGCAAUGGGGGAAACCCUGACGCAGCGACGCCGCGUGAGUGAGGAAGGCCUUCGGGUCGUAAAGCUCUGUCAAGAGGAAAGAAGUGUACAAUGGUUAAUAUCUGUUGUAUUGACGUACUUAAG